rnacentral:rRNA from 1 species
CACGUAGGGCGCAAGCGUUGUCCGGAAUUAUUGGGCGUAAAGAGCUCGUAGGCGGUCUGUUGCGUCCGCUGUGAAAACUCGGGGCUUAACCCCGAGCCUGCAGUGGAUACGGGCAGACUAGAGGUAGGUAGGGGAGAAUGGAAUUCCCGGUGUAGCGGUGAAAUGCGCAGAUAUCGGGAGGAACACCGGUGGCGAAGGCGGUUCUCUGGGCCUUACCUGACGCUGAGGCGCGACAGCGUGGGGAGCAAACAGG